ACAGAUAUAAAGGGCUCUCAUCAGGCUUAUAUAUCCAAGAGGUUAGACAUGAACCAUAACUUGUCUUUUUUGUUCUCUCUCUCCAAUGACAGAUGGGAUGGCCCUGUAAGUUGUGCAGCACUGUUGUACCAACCAAGAGUGACAUUUUAAAGCAUUACAGACUGCACCAUGGGACCUUUGGACACAGCCAUUCCUUGCCUUGCAUUCAUAUUAAUGAAGCGUUCCGAAGGUGCACUGCUGUUCCACUGGAAUCAACAUUUAUGUCCCAACUGGACAGGUACACUCCAAAACUCCUGGAGCUCUCCAGUGCAAAAGGAGGAGUGACUGCAGCGCAUCAAGAACUUGUUGAUGGAACUGACACAGGACCCAAGUGCCUCUGCAGUGAAGAAGAGAGAUGUGACUGUGAGAUGCCUCAUAGAGUACGUGGGAGAGAGUGGACAGGAGCUAAUCUCUGACUACUGGAACUGCAGAGACCGCUGUUCAUGAGGACCUGGAAAUGAAGAAUAUGAGCAUCUACAUCUGUCGUGAGCCAAAUGCAGUAGGAAUCAUCAUUGAGGGAGUACCAGUCCUUACUCGUCUUGGAAACCUGGCCAAAGCAUGCUGCCUACUUCUGGGGUUGACGUAUGCACUUAAUCUUGAG